UACGUAGGGUCCGAGCGUUGUCCGGAAUUACUGGGCGUAAAGAGCUCGUAGGUGGUUUGUCGCGUUGUUCGUGAAAACUCACAGCUUAACUGUGGGCGUGCGGGCGAUACGGGCAGACUGGAGUACUGCAGGGGAGACUGGAAUUCCUGGUGUAGCGGUGGAAUGCGCAGAUAUCAGGAGGAACACCGGUGGCGAAGGCGGGUCUCUGGGCAGUAACUGACGCUGAGACGCGAAAGCGUGGGGAGCAAACAGG
rnacentral:rRNA from 1 species